CCAAACACAGGAAUGGAGUUACCUGAGAGGAGGGCUCACAACAUUGGAUCGUGACUACGGAUGGAUUAAUAACAUCCACCAUGACAUUGGAACUCAUGUGAUACAUCAUCUUUUCCCGCAGAUCCCACAUUAUCAUCUAGUAGAAGCUACUGAAGCAGCUAAACCAGUACUAGGAAAGUACUACAGAGAACCGAAAAACUCUGGACCGCUCCCACUUCACUUACUGGGAAGCCUCAUAAAAAGUAUGAAACAAGACCAUUUCGUAAGCGAUACAGGAGACGUCGUGUACUAUGAGACAGAUCCAAAACUCAACUGACAAAGAACUUGACAACAGGCUGCAAUGAACCAGGCAGACGAGUUAAAAAUUCAUCUUGGCACAUUCUUUAUGUUCCUUUUCUUUUGGUCGAGAUUAAAAACUAAAAAGCAUUAUUUGUAGAAACUUUGUGGUAAAACUCUUUCGAUCGAAUGAAUAAUAUAUAAUCAGAUGGAUAUA